rnacentral:rRNA from 1 species
GACGUAGGGUCCGAGCGUUGUCCGGAGUUACUGGGCGUAAAGGGCGCGUAGGCGGCUUUGUGCGUCACACGUGAAAGCCCCUGGCUUAACCAGGGAGGGUCGUGUGAAACGGCGAAGCUGGAGGCAGAGAGAGGCUGGUGGAAUUCCCGGAGUAGUGGUGAAAUGCGUAGAUAUCGGGAGGAACACCGGUGGCGAAGGCGGCCAGCUGGCUCUGACCUGACGCUGAGGCGCGAAGGCGUGGGGAGCGAACAGG